rnacentral:rRNA from 1 species
CCUACGGGAGGCUGCAGUGGGGAAUAUUGCACAAUGGGCGAAAGCCUGAUGCAGCGACGCCGCGUGAGCGAUGAAGGACUUCGGGUCGUAAAGCUCUGUCCUCAAGGAAGAUAAUGACGGUACUUGAGGAGGAAGCCCCGGCUAACUACGUGCCAGCAGCCGGGGUAAUACGUGGGGGGCUAGCGUUAUCCGGAAUUACUGGGCGAAAGGGGUGCGUAGGUGGUUUCGAAAGUUGGAGUGGAAAGGCAAGGGUUCAACCAGAGUAAGCCUUUGAAACUGGGGAACUUGAGUGCAGGAGAGGAAAGUGGAAUUCCUAGUGUAGCGGUGAAAUGCGUAGAUAUUAGGAGGAACACCAGUGGCGAAGGCGGCUCUCUGGACUGUAACUGACGUUGAGGCACGAAAGCGUGGGGAGCAAACAGGAUUAGAUACCCCGGUAGUC